rnacentral:rRNA from 1 species
UACAGAGGUGGCAAGCGUUGUUCGGAAUUACUGGGCGUAAAGGGCGCGUAGGCGGCUUGGUCAGUCCCGUGUGAAAUCCCUCGGCUCAACUGAGGAACUGCACGGGAAACUGCCUGGCUUGAGUUCGGGAGAGGGAAGCGGAAUUCCGGGUGUAGCGGUGAAAUGCGUAGAUAUCCGGAGGAACACCGGUGGCGAAGGCGGCCUUCUGGACAGUGACUGACGCUGAGACGCGAAAGCGUGGGGAGCAAACAGG